rnacentral:lncRNA from 1 species
GCCCAGCUGUGCACAGCCGCUCGGGGCUGCACCGGGACCCCCCCCCGCCGCCAGGCCGGCCCUGCUCCGGCUUCCUGGGGGAGAGGAAGCCCGGCGGGGUGGGCUGCCGGCUUCCUGCCUUUGUCUGCCUGCCGCGGGGGGCCGCAGGGGAAGGCCCCUUCCUUCCCCUCGGCCCCACGGUGGGAGCCGAGCCGGCAGCGCCGCGAUGCUCCGGUUCUGCCCGCUGCCACCGCCGCCACCGCCGCCACCGCCGCCAUGGCCCUGCUCCUGCCUCUGCUGGGUACGUGCCACCCCCCCGCCGGGCCACCCGCCGCGACGCCACCCACCCCUCACCGCUCCCCCCCUCUCUCCGCAGCCUUCCUGCAGACCCUGCCGGCGCCCGGGCACCCCGCAGGUGAGCGGGGCGCCGACCCCGGGGUGGGGGGCACCCGCGUCCCGGCCCCGCUGCCCCCAUUUUUCUCUUGCAGAGCUGCUGCCGGCCCCCACCCUGGUGAUGCUGCCGGGACGCUUGGACCUCCGCGGCCCCGGCGGGGACGAGGCCGUCACCCUGCGCUGCCUGGCGCCCAUCACCGCGCGGGUGGCCUUGUACCUCUUCUACCGGCGGGCAGAGCCCCGGAGCCCCCGCACGAACUUCAGGAACUCCUCGGUGCCCGACAUCAAGGACACGGCGCUGCCCGGCCUCUACUCCUGCGCCUACAUGGAGCCCGGCCACCGCGGGGGGGGACCGUCCCUCGAGAGCCCCCUGACCCCCUUCUUGCCGCCGUGGGGCCACCUGCCCACCAUGCACCCGGGGGUCCCGACCGCGCCGGCGCCGUGGGACAACGGCACCGCCGGCCACCGCCGUCUCGUCCCCGGCCGCUCGGCCUCCUGCCGCCGGCACCCGAGCCCGGCCUUCGCCGCCGCCGCCCUCGCCUUCCUGCUGCCCCGCGGCUGCCGCUAGCGGCGAGGUGAGCAGAGGCCGCGGCCCCUUCCCCUCCCGGCUCACCCCGGUGCUCUUCUCCGGCGGGGAAAAACUCAGUUUAAAAUCUCACCCGCUUUUUUUUUCCCCCCAUCCCGCCAGAUUCCCGCGCUCGGCGCCCGCCGUCGCUGCCCGGCCCCGCGAAACGCCGACCGGCAGCGGCGUUCGGAGGUGCUCAGGAAACGCCCGGCUCCGAGCGGACCCUCAGCUUUCUCCCCCCGUGUUACUGCAAUAACCCGUUGCACAGAUGUAUUAUCUAUACAAUAACCCUCACAUAGGUAGAUCUGAUACACGAUAACCGUCGCAUAGGUGUGCGGUGUCUACACUAACCCCUCGCAAAGCAUCAGCCUGAAAAAGCGGUGCCGGAGCCCGCAAGGACGGGGAGGGAGGGCCGGGGCAAGGGGGCCACUUGCAAUAAACUUGCUCUGCACAAGGAUUCGGCGAGUCCU